UGGGGAAUUUUGGACAAUGGGCGAAAGCCUGAUCCAGCCAUGCCGCGUGAGUGAAGAAGGCCCUAGGGUUGUAAAGCUCUUUCAACGGUGAAGAUAAUGACGGUAACCGUAGAAGAAGCCCCGGCUAACUUCGUGCCAGCAGCCGCGGUAAUACGAAGGGGGCUAGCGUUGUUCGGAAUUACUGGGCGUAAAGCGCACGUAGGCGGAUUGGCAAGUUAGGGGUGAAAUCCCGGGGCUCAACCCCGGAACUGCCUUUAAAACUGCCGGUCUAGAGUUCGAGAGAGGUGAGUGGAAUUCCGAGUGUAGAGGUGAAAUUCGUAGAUAUUCGGAGGAACACCAGUGGCGAAGGCGGCUCACUGGCUCGAUACUGACGCUGAGGUGCGAAAGCGUGGGGAGCAAACAGGA
rnacentral:rRNA from 1 species